AUUGAACGCUGGCGGCAUGCCUUACACAUGCAAGUCGAACGACAGCGGGGGAGAAGCUUGCUUUUCCUGCCGGCGAGUGGCGAACGGGUGAGUAAUACAUCGGAACGUGCCCUGUAGUGGGGGAUAACUAGUCGAAAGAUUAGCUAAUACCGCAUACGACCUGAGGGCGAAAGUGGGGGACCGCAAGGCCUCAUGCUAUAGGAGCGGCCGAUGUCUGAUUAGCUAGUUGGUGGGGUAAAGGCCUACCAAGGCGACGAUCAGUAGCUGGUCUGAGAGGACGAUCAGCCACACUGGGACUGAGACACGGCCCAGACUCCUACGGGAGGCAGCAGUGGGGAAUUUUGGACAAUGGGCGAAAGCCUGAUCCAGCAAUGCCGCGUGUGUGAAGAAGGCCUUCGGGUUGUAAAGCACUUUUGUCCGGAAAGAAAUGGCUCUGGUUAAUACCUGGGGUCGAUGACGGUACCGGAAGAAUAAGGACCGGCUAACUACGUGCCAGCCGCCGCAGUAA
rnacentral:rRNA from 1 species